AUUUUCUUGAGAACAAGAAACUAAGAUUCAGAAAAUGAUCUUUCCAAGGCUACUGCUGAAUACCAUGGGAAUGAUAUUGUGGAUGGGAUGGCUAAUUGAUAAAGCCCUGAGAGUGACUAUUGUCCUGUGGACUGUUGCCAGAUGCUGUGUUUAUGAAUAUCAAAGACAUCUUG